rnacentral:ncRNA from 1 species
UCCUGGGUGGGAGGCGAUGACGCGCGGUCGGUCAGCCACGGCCGCCCCCCUGACCGCGCCGAGCCACUGGCGAGCCCGGCCCGCCCCGUC